GGAACCGCUGCGCCCCCGCCUCCCCAUUCUCACCGUCGGUCGCCCCACCCCGCCCGCACCGGUCGCCUCCCGCCGCUCAGCGCCGCCGGUCGACAGGCUCCGCACCCGCCGCUAGCCCCCGCCCCGCCCGCUCAGCGCCGCCCCCGCCCGCACUGGCCUCCUCCCGCUGCUCAGCGCCGCUACUUGAGGAUGCUUUGCCGGCUUCCCGCAGUUGCCAUCGGCAUCAAGCUUGGAGGGAACGAGCUCCUCUUGGCUCCCAUCUGCCUCGCCUUCGCGACCACGGUCCUCCGCUCCGCUCGCCCUCCGUCGUCGGCCGCCGAUCCUCUCCUCGGACGCCGCCCCGCCGUUCCUCUUCUGCUUCCCCGCGAGUGUGAGCAGCCCCCCCGCCGGUUCUCCUCUUCUGCCCCAAGAAGGCGGGAGAGCGUGAGCAUCCCGCCGCCGCUGCCCGCCGGCCUUCAUCUGCUGCCCCACAGAAGGACGUGAGCGCGGGGUGGCGGCGUCCUUUGAAAUCCUUUAAUUGGGUUACUGAGAUUUAGUAUUUCUAAUCUUCUUCAGCCUUUCGAAUAAUCGAUUGCUGAGAUCUUGAUCUUGAUGUUGCAUUUUUCUUGUUUUAUUUAAGAUUGGUUUUAGAUGUAGAGUUGGGUUCAUUUUGGAUGUGAAUGUUGGUUUUUAGAUUACUCAAUGGUUCAUUGCAGAAUGGUUUUGGUUGUUGGUGCAGGGAAGCUUUGCAUCAAUGUUAGACCCCCAUUCAAGGUCAUGUUCAUCCCGGAAGAGCGGAGGCAGAUUGUGUUAUUUGCACAAGGUUUCCCAAUCUCUCCUGAAGCUUAUCCUUUUUGAUAGAAUCAAUCAAUUAGCCCGUCUCAAGGUCUUCCCAGAUAUGCGGCCUUGUUGGAACAAAUGGAGUUGGAAAAUCCACAUCACUUAAAGUCUUAGCUGGCAAGCUGAAACCUCAUAAUCCGGCAAGAGAUCAUUACAUACUUCUAGGGUUCUGAGCUUCAGAAUUAUUUUACAUGUAUAUUGGAGGACCUGAAGAGCUGUUUAAUCCAGCAAUGAAACGCAGGUCAUCGCCCAUUCUACUCGCAGCAUCGGCACACACUGCCGCUGCUGACCAUCAUUAUUCGGUCGUAAUCCCGGCCUCCUCCUCCUGUUGUGCCCUUGGCUUAUUGCCUCGAGGUGCCACCCAAAUGCGCGUGGCUGCAAAAGUGUUUCAUCAUGGUCAGGCGCAGGUAGAUGACAACAAGCUGAAGAACAAUGAGCAGCUCGACAGAGGAGUACCGACGCAACGCUCGCCAUAGGGAAUUGGGAAGGUACAGAGUUGGGCUCCCCUGAUCACUAUAUUUAUUGGGAAGCUUGGUACAAGACAAUCUUAGUUUGGGCUAUGAUGCAACAAUAGGUUCAAGCUGAGUGAACAGUAUUUGUGAUCCAAGUGACUGGUUUUAGCUUGUCAACUUGACAUAUUACACAGCGUCGACGAUGCUCUAGGACUAGCAGAAAAACACUUUUGCGUUGCACAAGGUUUUGAUUGCCAAACUGGACUUGACUGAGCAGAUACAUUGACGAUGUUCAUCAAGGGGUUGUUGGAUAUCUUGACCGGUCUGCAGUACUUGGAAGAAAACUUCCUAGGUAACAUUCAGGAGAUAAAUGAUUUUAAUGUUACAUAGCACACUCCUCUCUGCAUGUUCCAUGCCAAGUGGAGCAAACCCUGUUUUACUGCUUUUGUGUGACUGUAGUUUGGAACAAGAUUCCUUCAGUGGGUUCUACAUUUUAAGUUUAAUAUGAGAAAUGCUGUCAAAUUAUCAAUAUGCACUCAUUAUUGUAACUCAAUGUGAAUCGAGUUCUUUGUAUUUCUUUGUGCUUGUUACUGGGUAUUAUUUGUUAAGACCACUCUAAGCAGAGAGAAUCAAAACAAAGGAUGGUAAGCUGAAACUUACUGUAUUUGUUUUUGAAAAACUACCAUUGUUUCCAGAACACACAUAAACUAUAGCUUUUUAGUAGCAGUACUUGGAAGAAAACUUCCUAGGUAACGUUCAGGAGAUAAAUGAUUUUAAUGUUACAUAGCACACUCCUCUCUGCAUGUUCCAUGCCAAGUGGAGCAAACCCUGGUUUACUGCUUUUGUGUGACUGUAGUUUGGAACAAGAUUCCUUCAGUGGGUUCUACAUUUUAAGUUUAAUAUGAGAAAUGCUGUCAAAUUAUCAAUAUGCACUUAUUAUUGUAACUCAAUGUGAAUCGAGUUCUUUGUAUUUCUUUGUGCUUGUUACUGGGUAUUAUUUGUUAAGACCACUCUAAGCAGAGAGAAUCAAAACAAAGGAUGGUAAGCUGAAACUUACUGCAUUUGUUUUUGAAAAACUACCAUUGUUUCCAGAACAGACAUAAACUAUAGCUUUUUAGUAGCAACAUCCAUUCUUAUUCUCAGAUUCUCAAAUGCAGUAGUGCAAGAAAAUAGAUUCCUAGCCAUAGGGAAAAACUAUGUUGUGAAGCCCAAUAAAACUUGAGAAAACGGGUUAAUGAUGUGGUCCAAGCAAGCUUAAAUAAGAGGUAAAGACGCCCAGAUCCUGGGAUUACCAAAGUUAACGUUUACGUGGCAUUCUCAUGUGCCAAUGCUCGUGCGACCAUGGAGUUAAUUGUAAGACGUACUAGAGGUGAGUUCAUUAUAGCAGCGUCUCAGAGGUAUGCAAAUAUUCCAAACUCUCUGGUUGCUGAAACACUUCUCUCCAGGAUGUGGUACGUACGACCUGUGAAGGAGGAAGAAUGGCCUGAUGUUACCUUUCAAUAUGAUUGUCAGGUACUGGUGGAGAUGUGGAACUAAUGAAAACAGAACAUAUCAGACAUUAUGGGCCUCCUGUGUGAAAUUGAGGAGCCGAGCCAAGCCUUUUGUUCCUUACGGUGUCUUCUAUUCUUAGAGGCUGAUUUCUGUGUGCAAAGCUGCCCCUGCAGGUUAGUGACCGGAGACUGUGGCAUAAUGCUGCUCCGGAUCAACUUGCUUUUUGAUGCAAACUGACAGUAAUCAUGAGGAAGAGAGCUGAGCUUCUUUGAUUGUGAAAAAAGUCCCUUUGAUCUUUUGGUGUUAAGAGGAUUGUACUUCACAAUAUUGGUUCAAUGCCGUUGAUAUUUUUAUGUGAGAUAUCUGCUUUCCAUUUUA